rnacentral:rRNA from 1 species
GACGAACGCUGGCGGCGUGCUUAACACAUGCAAGUCGAACGGACAGACAGAGAGCUUGCUCUCUUGAAGUUAGUGGCGAACGGGUGAGUAACGCGUAAUCAACCUGCCCUUCAGAGGGGGAUAACAACGGGAAACCUUUGCUAAUACCGAGUACGAUUCAUGAACGGCAUCGUUUAUGAAUGAAAGGUGGCCUCUAUGUAUAAGCUAUCGCUGAAGGAGGGGAUUGCGUCUGAUUAGCUAGUUGGAGGGGUAACGGCCCACCAAGGCAAUGAUCAGUAGCCGGUCUGAGAGGAUGAACGGCCACAUUGGGACUGAGACACGGCCCAAACUCCUACGGGAGGCAGCAGUGGGGAAUCUUCCGCAAUGGACAAAAGUCUGACGGAGCAACGCCGCGUGAGUGAUGAAGGUCUUCGGAUUGUAAAGCUCUGUUAAUCGGGACGAAAGAGUUCUGCGUGAAUAAUGCAGAAAAGUGACGGUACCGGAAUAGAAAGCCACGGCUAACUACGUGCCAGCCGCCGCAGUAA